UAUGUGAUCGUCUCUCGCAUAUCAAUAAGCGGAGGAAAAGAAACUAACAAGGAUUCCCUUAGUAACGGCGAGUGAAGCGGGAAGAGCUCAAAUUUGAAAUCUUCAAGGUUUUACCUUGACGAAUUGUAGUUUAAAGAAGUGUUUUCUGUUGAAGUUUUGGUAAAAGUUCUUUGGAAUAGGACAUCAUAGAGGGUGAGAAUCCCGUAUUUGACCAUUAUUUUCAGCUGUGUGAUACACUUUCAAAGAGUCGGAUUGUUUGGGAAUGCAGUCCAAAAUGGGUGGUAAAUUUCAUCUAAAGCUAAAUAUUGGCGAGAGACCGAUAGCGAACAAGUACCGUGAGGGAAAGAUGAAAAGAACUUUGAAAAGAGAGUUAAACAGUACGUGAAAUUGUCAAAAGGGAAGCGUUUGACACCAGUGUUGUUUUCUCGAAAAUCAAUUAAAAAGAGUUAGAUUUUGUUGUGUAUUGACCUUAACAGCUUGCAUUUCAAUUUUCUUGCUUUUUUUAAUGCACUUUUCGUUUAACAAGUCAACAUCAGUUUCCUUUGUUGUAAAAAGGUCAUUGGAAGGUGGCUUUCUUUUCGGAGAAAGUGUUUAUAGCCUUUGACUCCUGCAAUCGGAGAGACUGAGGUCUGCAGCGUAGAUCCUUCGGGGUUAGAUACAUUUGUGCUAAGUUAUAGCUUUUUAUAGACAACUUGUUGACUAUGAUUAGUCUUGUAGCUUACUCGCUUAUGCUAUUUUACCUACGCUUAGGAUGUUGAAGAUGUAGCACAUCAU
rnacentral:rRNA from 1 species